GGGAUCAAGUGCGGAAUGGGGGCAACGCCUGACGCAAGCGAACGCCGCGUGGAGAGGAUGAAGGAUCCUUCGGGUUGUAAACUCCCUGUCGGCCGGGAACGAAAAGGUCCGGGGUGGAAAAACCCAAGCUAUCGGCUAAAGUCCCUUGUCAAGCCGACACCGCGCGUGAAUAAACUCCGUGCCCGCGACCCUGCGUGAUUAAAA
rnacentral:rRNA from 1 species